rnacentral:rRNA from 1 species
GGGUUGUGAGGUUAAGCGACUAAGCGUACACGGUGGAUGCCCUGGCAGUCAGAGGCGAUGAAGGACGUGCUAAUCUGCGAUAAGCGUCGGUGAGGUGAUAUGAACCGUUAUAACCGGCGAUUUCCGAAUGGGGAAACCCAGUGUGUUUCGACACACUAUCAUUAACUGAAUCCAUAGGUUAAUGAGGCGAACCGGGGGAACUGAAACAUCUAAGUACCCCGAGGAAAAGAAAUCAACCGAGAUUCCCCCAGUAGCGGCGAGCGAACGGGGAGGAGCCCAGAGCCUGAAUCAGUGUGUGUGUUAGUGGAAGCGUCUGGAAAGGCGCGCGAUACAGGGUGACAGCCCCGUACACAAAAAUGCACAUACUGUGAGCUCGAUGAGUAGGGCGGGACACGUGGUAUCCUGUCUGAAUAUGGGGGGACCAUCCUCCAAGGCUAAAUACUCCUGACUGACCGAUAGUGAACCAGUACCGUGAGGGAAAGGCGAAAAGAACCCCGGCGAGGGGAGUGAAAAAGAACCUGAAACCGUGUACGUACAAGCAGUGGGAGCCUCUUAAUGGGGUGACUGCGUACCUUUUGUAUAAUGGGUCAGCGACUUAUAUUCUGUAGCAAGGUUAACCGAAUAGGGGAGCCGAAGGGAAACCGAGUCUUAACUGGGCGUUAAGUUGCAGGGUAUAGACCCGAAACCCGGUGAUCUAGCCAUGGGCAGGUUGAAGGUUGGGUAACACUAACUGGAGGACCGAACCGACUAAUGUUGAAAAAUUAGCGGAUGACUUGUGGCUGGGGGUGAAAGGCCAAUCAAACCGGGAGAUAGCUGGUUCUCCCCGAAAGCUAUUUAGGUAGCGCCUCGUGAAUUCAUCUCCGGGGGUAGAGCACUGUUUCGGCAAGGGGGUCAUCCCGACUUACCAACCCGAUGCAAACUGCGAAUACCGGAGAAUGUUAUCACGGGAGACACACGGCGGGUGCUAACGUCCGUCGUGAAGAGGGAAACAACCCAGACCGCCAGCUAAGGUCCCAAAGUCAUGGUUAAGUGGGAAACGAUGUGGGAAGGCCCAGACAGCCAGGAUGUUGGCUUAGAAGCAGCCAUCAUUUAAAGAAAGCGUAAUAGCUCACUGGUCGAGUCGGCCUGCGCGGAAGAUGUAACGGGGCUAAACCAUGCACCGAAGCUGCGGCAGCGACACUAUGUGUUGUUGGGUAGGGGAGCGUUCUGUAAGCCUGUGAAGGUGUACUGUGAGGUAUGCUGGAGGUAUCAGAAGUGCGAAUGCUGACAUAAGUAACGAUAAAGCGGGUGAAAAGCCCGCUCGCCGGAAGACCAAGGGUUCCUGUCCAACGUUAAUCGGGGCAGGGUGAGUCGACCCCUAAGGCGAGGCCGAAAGGCGUAGUCGAUGGGAAACAGGUUAAUAUUCCUGUACUUGGUGUUACUGCGAAGGGGGGACGGAGAAGGCUAUGUUGGCCGGGCGACGGUUGUCCCGGUUUAAGCGUGUAGGCUGGUUUUCCAGGCAAAUCCGGAAAAUCAAGGCUGAGGCGUGAUGACGAGGCACUACGGUGCUGAAGCGACAAAUGCCCUGCUUCCAGGAAAAGCCUCUAAGCAUCAGGUAACAUCAAAUCGUACCCCAAACCGACACAGGUGGUCAGGUAGAGAAUACCAAGGCGCUUGAGAGAACUCGGGUGAAGGAACUAGGCA